rnacentral:rRNA from 1 species
UACGUAGGGGGCAAGCGUUGUCCGGAUUUAUUGGGCGUAAAGAGCGUGUAGGCGGCCAGACAGGUCCGUUGUGAAAACUCGAGGCUCAACCUCGAGACGCCGAUGGAAACCGUCUGGCUAGAGUCCGGAAGAGGAGAGUGGAAUUCCUGGUGUAGCGGUGAAAUGCGCAGAUAUUAGGAAGAACACCCGUGGCUAAGGCGGCUCUCUAGUACGGUACUGACGCUGAGACGCGAAAGCGUGGGGAGCGAACAGG